AGCUACUCCUGGUUGAAGUGGCAUCCUUUCUGCGAAGCCUUGAUAACAUAGAAUAACUUAUUAAAAACCAAUAAAUUUGAUACGAUGCCAAAACAAGUUCGGGACUGCUUAGCAGAAAGAUAUAACGGAAAACAGGAAGAAAC
rnacentral:sRNA from 1 species